AAGUAGUCUUAAAUAAAGAGGUCUUGUAAAGGAUAUUUAAAAUUGUUGCACCUUGCAGCUUUUUAUUGCGUCCUGGAAACCAUGUCGGUGUUCACACUUUUAUUUUGUGCAAUCGUUGGCGGAUUUUUAGCCGUGACGGUUAACGGAGGUGAAUACUGUACGAUUGACGUCACGUCUGUAACAACACGGACGUCAUAUUGCGAGCAUGGAUGUUGUGGUGACGCCUUUGAUAAUACCAGAGAUUGUUGUGAGGAUCCGGGCGCCAGCACAUUUAUAUACGUAGGAGGGGGUGUUGGUGGAUUUGUUAGCUUUGUUAUCAUGGUUGUUUGUAUAUGUUAUUGUUGUAAUCAUUAGAAAAUAGACUGUUAUUGUGUGGUAUAGAAGCAUCAACAUCGUGUUGACGGCAACAUUAUAAGAAUCUCCUGUGAUAUACCGGAUAGUAUUGCGUUAAAAGACAAACAUUAUGGUUUUACUUGUGUGAAAGACAAACAUUAUGGUUUUACUUGUGUGAACAGUAUAUAUUUAUGAUAUUUAUUUUCAAAAACUGUGUGUAACUUUUAUAAAUGUAAAUAGAAAAUUGUCUUUAUUGUUUGAACUUAAGAGGCCAUUUUUCAGGUCAUCUUAUAAAAAUGUUUCAAAUAAAAAAACCUUA